UUUUAUGAGAGUUUGAUCCUGGCUCAGGACGAACGCUGGCGGCGUGCCUAAUACAUGCAAGUCGAACGCUUCUUUUUCCACCGGAGCUUGCUCCACCGGAAAAAGAAGAGUGGCGAACGGGUGAGUAACACGUGGGUAACCUGCCCAUCAGAAGGGGAUAACACUUGGAAACAGGUGCUAAUACCGUAUAACAAUCAAAACCGCAUGGUUUUGAUUUGAAAGGCGCUUUCGGGUGUCGCUGAUGGAUGGACCCGCGGUGCAUUAGCUAGUUGGUGAGGUAACGGCUCACCAAGGCCACGAUGCAUAGC
rnacentral:rRNA from 1 species